rnacentral:misc_RNA from 1 species
AAGUCGUAACAAGGUUUCCGUAGGUGAACCUGCGGAAGGAUCAUUACUGAGUUCAUGCCCUAACGGGUAGAUCUCCACCCUUGAAUACAAACCAUUGUUGCUUUGGCGGGCCGCUACGGCUACCGGCUUUGGCUGGUGAGUGCCCGCCAGAGGACCCUAAACUCUGAAUUAUAGUGUCGUCUGAGAAUUAUCAAAUAGUUAAAAACUUUCAACAACGGAUCUCUUGGUUCUG